UGCCCUAGUAACGGCGAGUGAAGCGGCAACAGCUCAAAUUUGAAAUCUGGCGUCUUCGGCGUCCGAGUUGUAAUUUGCAGAGGGCGCUUUGGCAUUGGCAGCGGUCCAAGUUCCUUGGAACAGGACGUCACAGAGGGUGAGAAUCCCGUACGUGGUCGCUAGCCUCUACCGUGUAAAGCCCCUUCGACGAGUCGAGUUGUUUGGGAAUGCAGCUCUAAAUGGGAGGUAAAUUUCUUCUAAAGCUAAAUACUGGCCAGAGACCGAUAGCGCACAAGUAGAGUGAUCGAAAGAUGAAAAGCACUUUGGAAAGAGAGUUAAAAAGCACGUGAAAUUGUUGAAAGGGAAGCGCUUGCAGCCAGACUUGCCUGUAGUUGCUCAUCUAGGUUUUUACCUAGUGCACUCUUCUAUAGGCAGGCCAGCAUCAGUUUGGGCGGUUGGAUAAAGGUCUCUGUCAUGUACCUCUCUUCGGGGAGAACUUAUAGGGGAGACGACAUGCAACCAGCCUGGACUGAGGUCCGCGCAUCUGCUAGGAUGCUGGCGUAAUGGCUGUAAGCGGCCCGUCUUGAAACACGGACCAAGGAGUCUAACAUCUAUGCGAGUGUUUGGGUGUCAAGCCCGAACGCGUAAUGAAAGUGAACGGAGGUGGGAACCUUUCGGGGUGCACCAUCGACCGAUCCUGAUGUCUUCGGAUGGAUUUGAGUAAGAGCAUAGCUGUUGGGACCCGAAAGAUGGUGAACUAUGCUUGAAUAGGGUGAAGCCAGAGGAAACUCUGGUGGAGGCUCGCAGCGGUUCUGACGUGCAAAUCGAUCGUCAAAUU
rnacentral:rRNA from 1 species